rnacentral:lncRNA from 1 species
UAUUAAGCUCAUUAGCUCACUACUUUGAACACUUUGCUGAAGAGCAAACCACUGAAUAGCAUAGGUAUUCUUGCUUUUAGGAAGCCAUGGAUAUACAGCAUGAAAGUGCAGAUCCAAUCAGUUUACCUGACCCAGAUCCCUCCAACCUAAGUGCCAGUCAUUUCAUCGAGCCAGCACUUGUACAGACUCCCAUGGAUAUUGGUGAGGAGAGUGAAGCACAGGCCAGCAUCGCCACACCAGGUCCAUCCAGCCAAGUUGCUGGUAUUCAAUGGGAGCCGGCCCAUGAGCAGGAAUUACAAAGGCCAGAAGACAUGCUGGCACCACUUG